CCUACGGGAGGCUGCAGUGGGGAAUAUUGGACAAUGGGGGCAACCCUGAUCCAGCCAUGCCGCGUGUGUGAAGAAGGCCCUCGGGUUGUAAAGCACUUUCAGUGAGGAAGAACGCCUGGUGGUUAAUACCCAUCAGGAAAGACAUCACUCACAGAAGAAGCACCGGCUAACUCCGUGCCAGCAGCCGCGGUAAUACGGAGGGUGCGAGCGUUAAUCGGAAUUACUGGGCGUAAAGCGCGCGUAGGUGGCUUGAUAAGCCGGUUGUGAAAGCCCCGGGCUCAACCUGGGAACGGCAUCCGGAACUGUCAAGCUAGAGUGCAGGAGAGGAAGGUAGAAUUCCCGGUGUAGCGGUGAAAUGCGUAGAGAUCGGGAGGAAUACCAGUGGCGAAGGCGGCCUUCUAGACUGACACUGACACUGAGGUGCGAAAGCGUGGGUAGCAAACAGGAUUAGAUACCCUAGUAGUC
rnacentral:rRNA from 1 species